rnacentral:rRNA from 1 species
GCCAGACUCCUACGGGAGGCAGCAGUGGGGGAUAUUGCACAAUGGGGGGAACCCUGAUGCAGCGACGCCGCGUGGGUGAAGAAGCGCCUCGGCGCGUAAAGCCCUGUCAGCAGGGAAGAAAAUGACGGUACCUGAAGAAGAAGCCCCGGCUAACUACGUGCCAGCAGCCGCGGUAAUACGUAGGGGGCAAGCGUUAUCCGGAUUUACUGGAUGUAAAGGGGGCGCAGACGGCGAUGCAAGCCAGGAGUGAAAGCCCGGGGCCCAACCCCGGGACUGCUCUUGGAACUGCGUGGCUGGAGUGCAGGAGGGGCAGGCGGAAUUCCUGGUGUAGCGGUGAAAUGCGUAGAUAUCAGGAGGAACACCGGUGGCGAAGGCGGCCUGCUGGACUGCAACUGACGUUGAGGCCCGAAAGCGUGGGGAGCAAACAGGAUUAGAUACCCCAGUAA